GAUGAACGCUGGCGGCGUGCCUAAUACAUGCAAGUCGAGCGAACGGACGAGAAGCUUGCUUCUCUGAUGUUAGCGGCGGGCGGGUGAGUAACACGUGGAUAACCUACCUAUAAGACUGGGAUAACUUCGGGAAACCGGAGCUAAUACCGGAUAAUAUUUUGAACCGCAUGGUUCAAAAGUGAAAGACGGUCUUGCUGUCACUUAUAGAUGGAUCCGCGCUGCAUUAGCUAGUUGGUAAGGUAACGGCUUACCAAGGCAACGAUGCAUAGCCGACCUGAGAGGGUGAUCGGCCACACUGGAACUGAGACACGGUCCAGACUCCUACGGGAGGCAGCAGUAGGGAAUCUUCCGCAAUGGGCGAAAGCCUGACGGAGCAACGCCGCGUGAGUGAUGAAGGUCUUCGGAUCGUAAAACUAUGUUAUUAGGGAAGAACAUAUGUGUAAGUAACUGUGAACAUCUUGACGGUACCUAAUCAGAAAGCCACGGCUAACUACGUG
rnacentral:rRNA from 1 species